rnacentral:rRNA from 1 species
AGAGCGAACGCUGGCGGCAGGCUUAACACAUGCAAGUCGAGCGGGCAUAGCAAUAUGUCAGCGGCAGACGGGUGAGUAACGCGUGGGAACAUACCUUUUGGUUCGGAACAACACAGGGAAACUUGUGCUAAUACCGGAUAAGCCCUUACGGGGAAAGAUUUAUCGCCGAAAGAUUGGCCCGCGUCUGAUUAGCUAGUUGGUGGGGUAACGGCCCACCAAGGCGACGAUCAGUAGCUGGUCUGAGAGGAUGAUCAGCCACAUUGGGACUGAGACACGGGCCCAAACUCCUACGGGAGGCAGCAGUGGGGAAUAUUGGACAAUGGGCGCAAGCCUGAUCCAGCCAUGCCGCGUGAGUGAUGAAGGCCCUAGGGUUGUAAAGCUCUUUUGUGCGGGAAGAUAAUGACGGUACCGCAAGAAUAAGCCCCGGCUAACUUCGUGCCAGCAGCCGC